rnacentral:rRNA from 1 species
UAGGGAAUCUUCGGCAAUGGGGGCAACCCUGACCGAGCAACGCCGCGUGAGUGAAGAAGGUUUUCGGAUCGUAAAGCUCUGUUGUAAGAGAAGAACGUGUGUGAGAGUGGAAAGUUCACACAGUGACGGUAACUUACCAGAAAGGGACGGCUAACUACGUGCCAGCAGCCGCGGUAAUACGUAGGUCCCGAGCGUUGUCCGGAUUUAUUGGGCGUAAAGCGAGCGCAGGCAGUUUAAUAAGUCUGAAGUUAAAGGCAGUGGCUUAACCAUUGUUCGCUUUGGAAACUGUUAAACUUGAGUGCAGAAGUGGAGAGUGGAAUUCCAUGUGUAGCGGUGAAAUGCGUAGAUAUAUGGAGGAACACCGGUGGCGAAAGCGGCUCUCUGGUCUGUAACUGACGCUGAGGCUCGAAAGCGUAGGGAGCAAACAGG